rnacentral:rRNA from 1 species
UACGUAGGGGGCAAGCGUUGUCCGGAAUUAUUGGGCGUAAAGCGCGUGUAGGCGGUCCGGUAAGUCCGCUGUGAAAGUCGGGGGCUCAACCCUCGGAUGCCGGUGGAUACUGUCGGGCUUGAGUACGGAAGAGGCGAGUGGAAUUCCCGGUGUAGCGGUGAAAUGCGCAGAUAUCGGGAGGAACACCAAUGGCGAAGGCAGCUCGCUGGGACGGUACUGACGCUGAGACGCGAAAGCGUGGGGAGCAAACAGG